rnacentral:sRNA from 1 species
UAUUUAAACUGCUGGAGUGCCCUCACCUGAAUGUGCGGAAGGCAGCCCAUGAGGCUCUGGGUCAGUUUUGCUGUGCACUGCACAAGGUCUGUCAAAGCUGCCCCUCGGAACCCAACACUGCUGCUUUGCAGGCUGCCCUGGCCCGAGUGGUGCCAUCCUACAUGCAGGCAGUGAACAGGGAGCGGGAGCGCCAGGUGGUGAUGGCCGUGCUGGAGGCCCUGACAGGGGUGCUCCGCAGCUGUGGGACCCUCACACUGAAGCCCCCUGGGCGCCUUGCUGAGCUCUGUAGCAUGCUCAAGGCUGUGCUGCAGAGGAAGACAGCCUGUCAGGAUACUGACGAGGAGGAAGAGGAAGAUGAUGAUCAGGUGAGAGCCAGGGAUAAAAACUGGGACCAGGCGGUCCAGGCAGUCUCCACGGGGACAGGGGUGGACAAUGUAUUUGGGCUUGGCCUGGGGCAGCCAGGGCCACUAAAAGAGAUUGGUAAUGGCCAGAGGGAUACAACCCUGAUCCCACUAAGCCAGUGGGAGUUCAGGGAAGGAGAGCAGUGUGGACUGGGGUGUGCUUGGAGUGAUAGGCAGGAGCAGAAGAGCCAGGGGAAGAAGCUGGGUCAUAGAAAAACCC